CGACUCUGGUUUCUCUUCAUUACGCACAAGCCUUUCGCCUUUUACUAAAGACUUCAGUGGAGAGGAAACACUUACGAGUUCAACCAUAUUUUUGGAAGGGUGGCUUCUGGCCCC
rnacentral:snRNA from 1 species